UGGAGGUACCUUAUCACGGGAC
rnacentral:siRNA from 1 species